rnacentral:rRNA from 1 species
UCCGUAGGCGGUGUGGUAAGUCGAUAGUGAAAUCUCUGGGCUUAACCCAGAGGCUGCUAACGAAACUGCCAUGCUAGAGUGUGAGAGAGGCGAGUGGAAUUACGGGUGUAGCGGUGAAAUGCGUAGAUAUCCGUAGGAACAUCCGAGGCGAAGGCGGCUCGCUGGAUCACAACUGACGCUGAGGGACGAAAGCUAGGGGAGCAAACAGGAUUAGAUACCCUGGUAGUCCUAGCCCUAAACCAUCAGGACUUGGGGUUUGCCCUGUAUGGGGCAAGUCCCGUAGCUAACGCGUUAAGUCCUGCGCCUGGGGAGUACGGUCGCAAGGCUGAA